GACGAACCGUGCGAACGUUAUUCGGAAUCACUGGGCUUAAAGCGCGCGCAGGCGGCUUCGCGCGCCCGACGUGAAAGCCCCCGGCUUAACCGGGGAGAGUCGUUGGGGACGGCGGAGCUUGAGGGCGGGAGAGGUCGGUGGAAUUCCCGGUGUAGUGGUGAAAUGCGUAGAGAUCGGGAGGAACACCUGUGGCGAAGGCGGCCGACUGGGCCGACCCUGACGCUGAGGCGCGAAGGCGUGGGGAGCGAACGGG
rnacentral:rRNA from 1 species